GUCCCUGUCGCGCAAUGGAUAGCGUGUUUUGGUCUUCUAAUCCAGAGGUCGUGGGUUCCAAUCCCACUGGAGAUA